rnacentral:rRNA from 1 species
UUGAACGAAAUCAAUUCCGAGUAGCUGAUGCUGACCUCUCCAAAAAGAUGAACCGGAAAUACAUCAAGAAACCAAAGCCUAAACCUGGUGAGAGAGAGAAGGCAAAGGGAUAGAUGGCAAACCGGCGGCACUUCUUGGAAUCAAAAAGGUCCCAAUCGCUUCCUUUUCAGCAAUUUCAGGCACUUUUAACUCUCUUUCCAAAGAACUUUUCAUCUUUCCCUCACGGUACUUGUUUGCUAUCGGUCUCGCGCCAGUACUUAGCUUUAUGUGAAACCUACCACACAUUUUGCGCUCAAAUCCCGAUGAACGCGACUCUAUAAAAGCGUACCGUACGUGGAACAAAAAACGCAGGGGAAGGACGGGAUUCUCACCCUCUAUGAUGUUUUUCCCAAGAAACUUAACCCUGCGCUUCCACUGGUAACGCCUCUCGAGGCUACAAGUCAACAGCUCGGAAAGAGCAGUUGAUUUCCACUUUGAGCUGAUCCCGGUUCACUCGCCGUUACUAAGGGAAUCAUAGUUAUUUUCUUCUCCUCCGCUUAAUAAUAUGCUUAAGUUCAGCGGGUAACCUCGCCUGAUUUCAGGUCUG